rnacentral:lncRNA from 1 species
UUCCAGUUUUAUUCCGGCUUCACUUCCACACCAUCAAUGAAAGCCUUUCCACCCACGAAGUAGGCUCUGCGCCCUCUCUCCCUGGCGUCUCUCACCCGGGGCCACAGCUGUCUGCGCGCCGCCGCGUCCAGCGCGCUCAGGUCCUCCGCGAACCGUAGCCGCUCAGACAGGAGAAACUCGCAGUUCUUCGCUCGCCUCCACAGCACAUCGCGUGUAGAUCUGCUGAUGAACUGAAUAAUCGUGGUUCUCGGGUUUUUGCCCUGCUCCUUCCGCCCCAGCCUGUGGACAAUGUCUACCUCUGUCUUAAAUCGCUCCUUAAGUUCAGGAACCACAGCCCCGCAGAUAUUGAUCACUGUGUCUUUAAUGUCCUCCUCUGACUUCUCGGGAAUGCCGUGUAGCCUCAGGUUCCAUCUCCGGCGAUACCUCUCCGCCUCGUUCAGCUUCUGCUCCAACUCAGAAGCACCACGAUGUUAUUCUGCAUUUCCAACAGAGACGGCUCGUCUUUCAUCCUCUUCAUGAGGGGCUUUUCCGGAGUGUAGGGCUCAAUGUCGCAGUCGGAGUCCAGCAGCUGCUCCAGCUGCGGCUCUCCGGAGCUCCUCUCGCUGUCGAGGGCGUACGAGUGCUCGGCCUCGAGGGGCGCUCCGCCGCUCGCCCCUGCUGCAGGGCGCACCUGCCCUCCUGAAGGCCGCGGCAUUUUCGAAACCUCCUUCUCCUUUCGCUUCUUUCCACCAGUACUUUUUUCAGAGAUCGAAUCCAUCCUAAUAUAACGGUUUUUUUUUUCAGUAGUUCAAUUCAGAGGAAGGAAAAAAUCGCAUCCAAGUUUUAACUUUUUUUUUGGUUGGAAAUAAAUUUAAAACUCUCCAAAAAUUGACAAAGUUAGACAAAAAUCAUAGACAUUCAAAUCAAAGCAAAUUUUCUCCUUUCACCAACAGUUUAAGGGAAAAAAGACCCCAAUUUUUUAGCGCUUAACAAAACACGUGCGAACUGGUCGCCAUCUUGCCGACCCCCCUUAUGCACGCAAGACUACGUUACAGAUCACCGGAGUACAUUAUACAGGCAAAUAAAGAUAAGGUACGCACAGCUUUCAUGUUGUGAUACUUAAACAUGGUUUGGAGACGUUCCCUCGUGUGUAUUUUGAAU